rnacentral:tRNA from 1 species
UGUAUUUUGGUGUAUGAUGCAUGUAGGGUUUUGAUCUCUAAGGAUUUAGUUUAAUUCUAAUAAAUAUAA